AAAAAUUCCUUUGACAAUCCAUAUGACUGCUACAGGUCCUUAUUCCUUUUGCUUCAGGCCCUUUUGUUGCUAUAAAUAUUACAUGAAAUGGACUCCAAUUCUUGCAUGUUCAUCUCUCUCUUUUUUCUCAUAGCCUCCUCUCCUCUCCUCUCUCUCUUUCAAGCUGUAGCUUGAUUUUUAAUCUUCGUCUAAGUUGUUUAAUUUAUUGUCCAAAUUAGCCAAAUGCAUAUUUUCACAAAAGAACUAAGUUCGACUGAUGUCAAGUCAGCCCUA
rnacentral:misc_RNA from 1 species